rnacentral:rRNA from 1 species
GACGAACGCUGGCGGCGUGCCUAAUACAUGCAAGUAGAACGCUGAAGGAGGAGCUUGCUUCUCUGGAUGAGUUGCGAACGGGUGAGUAACGCGUAGGUAACCUGCCUGGUAGCGGGGGAUAACUAUUGGAAACGAUAGCUAAUACCGCAUAAGAGUAGAUGUUGCAUGACAUUUGCUUAAAAGGUGCAAUUGCAUCACUACCAGAUGGACCUGCGUUGUAUUAGCUAGUUGGUGAGGUAACGGCUCACCAAGGCGACGAUACAUAGCCGACCUGAGAGGGUGAUCGGCCACACUGGGACUGAGACACGGCCCAGACUCCUACGGGAGGCAGCAGUAGGGAAUCUUCGGCAAUGGACGGAAGUCUGACCGAGCAACGACGCGUGAGUGAAGAAGGUUUUCGGAUCGUAAAGCUCUGUUGUAAGAGAAGAACGAGUGUGAGAGUGGAAAGUUCACACUGUGACGGUAUCUUACCAGAAAGGGACGGCUAACUACGUG